UACGUAGGGGGCAAGCGUUGUCCGGAUUUAUUGGGCGUAAAGAGCGUGUAGGCGGCCAGACAGGUCCGUUGUGAAAACUAGAGGCUUAACCUCUAGACGUCGAUGGAAACCGUCUGGCUAGAGUCCGGAAGAGGAGAAUGGAAUUCCGGGUGUAGUGGUGAAAUGCGUAGAGAAUCCGGAGGAACACCAGUGGCGAAGGCGACACGCUGGGCCGUACCUGACACUGAUGCGCGACAGCAUGGGGAGCAAACAGG
rnacentral:rRNA from 1 species